AUGCUGGGACACAAAAGGAAUGAAAGUGUUUCUAGGUGCUUCAAGAGGACUUCUGAAAUACUCAUAUCAGAAGGUAUAAAUUUGUCACAUGCAUGUUUUCUCUGCAAGUUGAAACAAGCUCUGGAAGUCUCCUUUGUGAAGUGCAUGAUCAUGUCAACCCAGCAGCUCACACCUGCUCCAGCCCCUCAUUCCCAGGAGCAGAGGUCAGUGCCUGUGCUUUUCCUGACGCUGUUUCUGGGAGCAGGAAGCAACAAGCAAUCAUGCACCAAUUCCCAGUGUGAUUUUGCCUUCUAGAACAAGGAAGAUUGGGUGGUCAUGGAGUAACUAACUUGUUUCCUGUGGAACACCCUUUCCUUUCUUUGUGGAUGCAGCCAAACAGCUGGACUCUGCAGUUAUCUCCAAAACUGUAGGGCCUCGCACGCCUGAUUGGGGAAGACCUUCAUGAAUACUCUGGCUGGUCAACAGCAAGCCCAGCUGCCGCAACUAGGAAGCGGGUACAAGCAGCAAGAGAAAAGGGAAAGUGAUACUUGCUGUCUCUGGAAACAAAGCCAUCAGGACUACUUGAAGAUACCAGCUGUAAAGAGCAUCACCCAAUGCCACCAGGUCUACUGGGAAUACUGCUUGUGACCAUGUGUCAGAUGGUUAUUCCGUAUAUAUAUAUAUAUAUUUGUAUGCUAUUUCAACUAUAAAUUUUGGGUUCCAUGUUUUCAAAAUGCAACAACUUUCACCAGCUAGAUGACAAUCUGUUGUGUGAACACUUGUAUAUGCCCUUUAGUUUUUACACACUGUAAGCUCAGAUGAUCAUCUGAUACACACAUUUCAUCAAGAUCACUGAUCUGUAUUUAUCUUUUUAUCUCUGUAAAUUUUAACUGGCUACAUAAGAGUCUUCAAAUGCAAGGUCAAACCCAAAUUGCUCUUUUAACUUCCAUUGCUUUUAUUAGGUAUUUCUACUGAGCAUUUGCUGCACAGAGCUAUAUAGUAUCUUAUCUCGUAUGAACAGUUCUGAUCCUAAUAACUGAGCCUGAAAGUUGCUGAACUCAGUGCAUGAGUGAGCAAUUACGUGCUUUGUAUCUCAGGACUAACAUGCAGAUACUCAUACACAAGGCCUGCAGGUUUAAUUCUGGCUUUCAGUUGCACUUCAGGAAAAAUAUGUUUCCAGGAGCAGCAAUAAAAAAGCAAACAGAAUCUAGUACCUGUAACA
rnacentral:lncRNA from 1 species